AACGAACGCUGGCGGCAUGCCUAACACAUGCAAGUCGAACGAGACCUUCGGGUCUAGUGGCGCACGGGUGCGUAACGCGGGGGAACCUGCCCUUAGGUUCGGAAUAACUCCCCGAAAGGGGUGCUAAUACCGGAUAAUGUCUUCGGACCAAAGAUUUAUCGCCUUGGGAUGGGCCCGCGUUGGAUUAGCUAGUUGGUAGGGUAAAAGCCUACCAAGGCGACGAUCCAUAGCUGGUCUGAGAGGAUGAUCAGCCACACUGGGACUGAGACACGGCCCAGACUCCUACGGGAGGCAGCAGUGGGGAAUAUUGGACAAUGGGCGAAAGCCUGAUCCAGCAAUGCCGCGUGAGUGAUGAAGGCCUUAGGGUUGUAAAGCUCUUUUACCCGGGAUGAUAAUGACAGUACCGGGAGAAUAAGCUCCGGCUAACUCCGUG
rnacentral:rRNA from 1 species